GAGGACGCCAUGUCCCCCACCCUCACGGCCCUGCUCUGCCUUGGGCUGAGUCUGGGCCCCGGGACCCGAGGGCAGCAAGGGACCCUCCCCAAGCCCACCCUGUGGGCUGAGCCAGGCUCUGUGAUCACCUGGGGGAGGCCAGUGACCCUCUGGUGUGAGGGGACA